UACGUAGGACCCAAGCGUUAUCCGGAUUGACUGGGCGUAAAGAGUUGCGUAGGUGGUCUGUUAAGCGAAUAGUGAAAUCUUGUGGCUCAACCAUGAGGCUAUUAUUCGAACUGGCAGACUCGAGAAUGGAAGAGGUAUCUGGAAUUUCUCAUGUAGGGGUAAUAUCCGCAGAUAUGAGAAGGAACACCAAUGGCGUAGGCAGGAUACUGGUCCAUUUCUGACACUGAGGCACGAAAGCGUGGGGAGCGAACCGG
rnacentral:rRNA from 1 species